rnacentral:rRNA from 1 species
UCAGCCGGUCUCCGAAUGCCUCUAGAUUUNAGUUUGAUCAUGGCUCAGAUCGAACGCUGUGUCGGCAGGCCUAACACAUGCAAGUCGAGCGGAUGACGGGAGCUUGCUCCUUGAUUCAGCGGCGGACGGGUGAGUAAUGCCUAGGAAUCUGCCUGGUAGUGGGGGACAACGUUUCGAAAGGAACGCUAAUACCGCAUACGUCCUACGGGAGAAAGCAGGGGACCUUCGGGCCUUGCGCUAUCAGAUGAGCCUAGGUCGGAUUAGCUAGUUGGUGGGGUAAUGGCUCACCAAGGCGACGAUCCGUAACUGGUCUGAGAGGAUGAUCAGUCACACUGGAACUGAGACACGGUCCAGACUCCUACGGGAGGCAGCAGUGGGGAAUAUUGGACAAUGGGCGAAAGCCUGAUCCAGCCAUGCCGCGUGUGUGAAGAAGGUCUUCGGAUUGUAAAGCACUUCAAGUUGGGAGGAAGGGCAAAC